rnacentral:lncRNA from 1 species
AGCUUGGCUGCUGGUUCAGUGUGACUCAAAUUAACCUAAUUAUGCUUUUCAACUUCCAAUCAAAUUAUUGGCAUUACUUGUUUCUUCGUAAUCAUGGUUGAAUCUGACUUAUAUCUUUUAGUGAACUUCUUUGUAAAAGUUUGAUGAUAAUUUGUUGGUUGAUACCUCAUAUUUACAGUUAGUCUCUUCCGUUGCAUUUGGUUCUGUUAGAUGUCUAAAAACGGCAUAUCGUUUGUCAAGUGGAACUUCUCCUUGAAUGGAUGGCCGAAAACAAAGAACAUAUUGAGAACAAGCAAAAAGAAAUCCGCUUGGGUGUACAAUUUCCAGGUCUUCUCUUUGAACCUCUGGACUUUUUUUUUAUUUCUGAAGAGAGCAUGAGGUGAGGCUUUAAGAUCUUGAAAACAAAAAAUUGAUUUUAAGUAAAUCUUGAAUUUUGCAGGAUUUUUACUUCGAAGUUAAAGGACUUCUAAGACUUCUUCUCUUUCUAAAUUGUUGUUGUGUGAUAGACCUCUGAAAUAUAUUGUUUUCCAAAAUAGACCUCUGGAAUAGAAUGACCGACAUUUUUACUCUGGUUAUUCUUCUAUAUUCGAUAUUGAAAUCUGUAUAUUUUAAAAUGAAGAAAGAUUACUCGAGCUUAUUUGAGAUAUUCUUCUCCUUCCUUUUCUUUCUUCAAGUUUUUCCUUUUAAAUGUUGUAGUAUUAACUUCGUUCAGUAAAGUUUCACUAGCUUG